UAUCGAUAUGUGAAUACAUAGCAUAUCAGAAGGCACACCCGGAGAACUGAAACAUCUUAGUACCCGGAGGAAGAGAAAGAAAAUUCGAUUCCCUUAGUAGCGGCGAGCGAAACGGGAAGAGCCCAAACCAACAAGCUUGCUUGUUGGGGUUGUAGGACACUCUAUACGGAGUUACAAAGGACGACAUUAGACGAAUCAUCUGGAAAGAUGAAUCAAAGAAGGUAAUAAUCCUGUAGUCGAAAAUGUUGUCUCUCUUGAGUGGAUCCUGAGUACGACGGAGCACGUGAAAUUCCGUCGGAAUCUGGGAGGACCAUCUCCUAAGGCUAAAUACUCUCUAGUGACCGAUAGUGAACCAGUACCGUGAGGGAAAGGUGAAAAGCACCCCGGAAGGGGAGUGAAAUAGAACCUGAAACCGUGUGCUUACAAGUAGUCAGAGCCCGUUAAUGGGUGAUGGCGUGCCUUUUGUAGAAUGAACCGGCGAGUUACGAUUUGAUGCAAGGUUAAGCAGUAAAUGUGGAGCCGUAGCGAAAGCGAGUCUGAAUAGGGCGUUUAGUAUUUGGUCGUAGACCCGAAACCAGGUGAUCUACCCUUGGUCAGGUUGAAGUUCAGGUAACACUGAAUGGAGGACCGAACCGACUUACGUUGAAAAGUGAGCGGAUGAACUGAGGGUAGCGGAGAAAUUCCAAUCGAACCUGGAGAUAGCUGGUUCUCUCCGAAAUAGCUUUAGGGCUAGCCUCAAGUGAUGAUUAUUGGAGGUAGAGCACUGUUUGGACGAGGGGCCCCUCUCGGGUUACCGAAUUCAGACAAACUCCGAAUGCCAAUUAAUUUAACUUGGGAGUCAGAACAUGGGUGAUAAGGUCCGUGUUCGAAAGGGAAACAGCCCAGACCACCAGCUAAGGUCCCAAAAUAUAUGUUAAGUGGAAAAGGAUGUGGCGUUGCCCAGACAACUAGGAUGUUGGCUUAGAAGCAGCCAUCAUUUAAAGAGUGCGUAAUAGCUCACUAGUCGAGUGACACUGCGCCGAAAAUGUACCGGGGCUAAACAUAUUACCGAAGCUGUGGAUUGUCCUUUGGACAAUGGUAGGAGAGCGUUCUAAGGGCGUUGAAGCAUGAUCGUAAGGACAUGUGGAGCGCUUAGAAGUGAGAAUGCCGGUGUGAGUAGCGAAAGACGGGUGAGAAUCCCGUCCACCGAUUGACUAAGGUUUCCAGAGGAAGGCUCGUCCGCUCUGGGUUAGUCGGGUCCUAAGCUGAGGCCGACAGGCGUAGGCGAUGGAUAACAGGUUGAUAUUCCUGUACCACCUAUA
rnacentral:rRNA from 1 species